GGGAUUCGAAUUUUGAUCAAAACAUCUUUAUGAGUUCAUUGAAUGAGUAGAAAUUGAGAGGAUGUCAUUUACCAUUGAAGCCAUAAUGGCACAACCCAACCCCAUUUAAAUGACAGGACAGAGUCUAUGAAGGUUUAGUAGUUUAAUAUGUGGGUCCACAAAUAUUGUUAUGGGAAGCAGACCAAAAAAUUCAGAUUGAAUCCAACUCAUAACUGGAUUGAAGGAUUACUUUGAAAUUGUUGUGUUCUGCCAGUCCUCCCUCCUGUCCUACACUCAAAAAGUUGCAAAUCACAACAUUUUCAUCCCAUUAGGUCAAACGCAUUGGUGAAAUUCUAGUUGCUUAGUAACAUUGGCUGAUAUCUUUGAACCCUAUUUUAUCUGCGGCAAUCUUACCAUCAAGUUAAGACACCAUUGGUAGCAACGAACAUUUCAUUUGACUCUUCCAUGUGCAAAUGUGCUUUUUGCAGCCUGUUGAGUAAUAGAAGUCUCUUGCAUAUCUGAAGAAAUAAUUAGUAUGAAGCAGUUCCAGGUCAAAUUUCACAUGGAAAAUUCUGAUAAUUUGUGGUGGUUCUUUUUCAUGAUUCUUUUCUUUCACAGUUAUGAGGCCUUUCCAGUCUUUUUGGGAACAUAGAAAAUGGGAGGAAAGAAAAUAAC
rnacentral:misc_RNA from 1 species